rnacentral:rRNA from 1 species
AGAGCGAACGCUGGCGGCAGGCUUAACACAUGCAAGUCGAGCGCCCCGCAAGGGGAGCGGCAGACGGGAGAGUAACACGUGGGAACGUACCUUUCGGUUCGGAACAACCCAGGGAAACUUGGGCUAAUACCGGAUACGCCCGUAAGGGGAAAGAUUUAUCGCCGGAAGAUCGGCCCGCGUCUGAUUAGCUAGUUGGUGAGGUAACGGCUCACCAAGGCGACGAUCAGUAGCUGGUCUGAGAGGAUGAUCAGCCUCACUGGGACUGAGACACGGCCCAGACUCCUACGGGAGGCAGCAGUGGGGAAUAUUGGACAAUGGGCGCAAGCCUGAUCCAGCCAUGCCGCGUGAGUGAUGAAGGCCCUAGGGUUGUAAAGCUCUUUUGUGCGGGAAGAUAAUGACGGUACCGCAAGAAUAAGCCCCGGCUAACUUCGCGCCAGCAGCCGC